UACAGAGGGUGCGAGCGUUAAUCGGAAUUACUGGGCGUAAAGCGCACGUAGGUGGCGACGUAAGUCGGGUGUGAAAGCCCCGGGCUCAACCUGGGAAUUGCAUUCGAGACUGCAUUGCUGGAGUACGGAAGAGGAAGGCGGAAUUCCCGGUGUAGCGGUGAAAUGCGUAGAUAUCGUAAGGAAGACCAGUGGCGAAGGCGGGUCUCUGGACAGUUCCUGACGCUGAGGCACGAAGGCCAGGGGAGCAAACGGG
rnacentral:rRNA from 1 species